rnacentral:rRNA from 1 species
CGAACGCUGGCGGCGUGCUUAACACAUGCAAGUCGAGCGGUGAAGCGCCUUCCUUUUUGGUGGGUGUGGAUGAGUGGCGAACGGGUGAGUAACACGUGAGUAACCUGCCCCCUUCUUCUGGAUAACCGCAUGAAAGUGUGGCUAAUACGGGAUAUUCUGGGUCUGUCGCAUGAUGGGUCUGGGAAAGAUAUUGUUUCGGUGGGGGAUGGGCUCGCGGCCUAUCAGCUUGUUGGUGGGGUGAUGGCCUACCAAGGCGGUGACGGGUAGCCGGCCUGAGAGGGUGGACGGUCACACUGGGACUGAGACACGGCCCAGACUCCUACGGGAGGCAGCAGUGGGGAAUAUUGCACAAUGGGCGCAAGCCUGAUGCAGCGACGCCGCGUGAGGGAUGGAGGCCUUCGGGUUGUGAACCUCUUUCGCCAGUGAAGCAGGCCUGCCUCGUUUGUGGGUGGGUUGACGGUAGCUGGAUAAGAAGCGCCGGCUAACUACGUG